AUGAAGCUCGCGGCGUGGAAUUGUCGGGGGUUGGGGAAUGGCCCGGCAAUUCGAGGGCUCCUGGAUAUCCGGGAGAAGGAGGACCCUGAUGUGAUGUUUCUUUGCGAGACGAGGACCGAUGAGAAGGGAUUGGAAUGGCUUAGGUGGAAGUUAGGGCUCCCUAUCUGGGUGGUACAGAAAAGUGCGGGACAAAGUGGCGGAUUGGCAGUGUUAUGGAGGAAUGGUUUGACAGUGAAAGGUGGAUGGUGUUCUCGGUAUCACAUUGACACUGAGAUUACCGAGGAGGAUGGUUUUGCCUGGAGAUUUACUGGUAUCUAUGGGGAGUCAAAGAUGGAUGAAAAACACAAGACUUGGAAACUGCUGCGUACUCUAAAAAACCACAACAAUAAACCUUGGCUGAUGGCGGGGGAUUUCAAUGAGAUCCUACUCCAGUGCGAGAAGGAAGGGGGGUGGCUCGGCCCCAACAAGCUAUGGACAGCUUUCGAAGUGCUCUGGAGGAGUGUGACCUGCAUGAUCUCGGCUUCGAUGGUGAUCCAUACACCUGGCGAAAUAACAACCAUGAUUCGAAUAAAUAUAUCCGAGAGAGACUUGACAGAGCGGUGGCUUCACCAAGCUGGUGCCAACGUUUCCCCUUUUACAAAGUGGUGCAUGGUGACCCUCGGCACUCUGAUCAUAGACCACUAA
rnacentral:rRNA from 1 species